AACGAACGCUGGCGGCAGGCCUAACACAUGCAAGUCGAACGGGUGUAGCAAUACAUCAGUGGCGCACGGGAGAGUAACGCGUGGGAACCUACCUUUUGGUUCGGAAUAACGUCGGGAAACUGACGCUAAUACCGGAUAAGCCCUACGGGGGAAAGAUUUAUCGCCGAAAGAUGGGCCCGCGUAAGAUUAGCUUGUUGGUGAGGUAACGGCUCACCAAGGCUACGAUCUAUAGCUGGUCUAAGAGGAUGAUCAGCCUCACUGGGACUGAGACACGGCCCAGACUCCUACGGGAGGCAGCAGUGGGGAAUAUUGGACAAUGGGGGCAACCCUGAUCCAGCCAUGCCGCGUGAAUGAUGAAGGCCUUCGGGUUGUAAAGUUCUUUUGGCGGGGACGAUGAUGACGGUACCCGCAGAAUAAGCUCCGGCUGACUUCGUGCCAGCCGCCGCGGUAA
rnacentral:rRNA from 1 species